AACGAACGCUGGCGGCGUGGAUAAGACAUGCAAGUCGAACGGGACAACAUCUGUAGCAAUACAGGUGUUGUUUAGUGGCGAGCGGGUGCGUAACACGUGGGCAAUCUGCCGAGAAGUGGGGGAUAGCUCGCCGAAAGGCGAAUUAAUACCGCAUGUGAUGAGAGACGACAUCGUCUUGAAAUCAAAGCCGGGGCAACCUGGCGCUUUUGUAGGAGUCCGCGGCCUAUCAGCUUGUUGGUGAGGUAACGGCUCACCAAGGCUAUGACGGGUAGCUGGUCUGAGAGGACGGCCAGUCACACUGGAACUGAGACACGGUCCAGACACCUACGGGUGGCAGCAGUCGAGAAUUUUUGACAAUGGGGAAACCCUGAUCGAGCGACGCCGCGUGGAGGAUGAAGGUCUUCGGGUUGUAAACUCCUGUCAUUUGAGAACAAGGUGCACCGGUUAACGUGCCGGUGCAUUGAUAGUAUC
rnacentral:rRNA from 1 species